rnacentral:rRNA from 1 species
AUCUGGGCGGCGGAAUUCAGGAUGGCUGGUGGGUCUCGUGCUCGUCCGGCCGUUUGAUAUUUCCGUCGCCGCGUCAGACGUCGCGACCUGUUUGUCGUCGGUCCUUGCUCGGAGGAAUCGCGAUCGAGUUCGUUGCGGAGUGCGCUCCGGUGUGCUACGCGGCGAAGACGCGACUCUCUGGCCGACGACGGACAGUAAGCAACGGUGUCCGACGCCGUGUCUCGCACCCGGCGCCGGUACCGGUCUGCGACGAUUUCUUCGGGCCUCUUUCCGACCCGUCUUGAAACACGGACCAAGGAGUCUAACAUGCGCGCGAGUCGCGGGGUUUCGAGCGUGCCACGGUGCGCUCGUCACUCACAAAACCCGUACGUUGAAGGCGUAAUGAAAGUGAACAGGGAGGAUGGCGUUCCGAGUCCACGUACCGUGAUCGAGUGUCGCGGCCGGACGUCCGCACUCCCGGGGCGUCUCAGUGGCUCGUCGCGGAUGCGGACAGUCGUCUUUCGGGGUGGCUGUCGGUCUGCGUCGGACCGA